CAUGGUUGUCGUCAGCUCGUGUCGUGAGAUGUUGGGUUAAGUCCCGCAACGAGCGCAACCCUCGACCUUAGUUGCCAGCAUUCAGUUGGGCACUCUAAGGUGACUGCCGGCUAAAAGUCGGAGGAAGGUGGGGAUGACGUCAAAUCAUCAUGCCCCUUAUGACCUGGGCUACACACGUGCUACAAUGGGCGGUACAAAGGGUCGCGAACCCGCGAGGGGGAGCCAAUCCCAAAAAGCCGCUCGUAGUCCGGAUCGCAGUCUGCAACUCGACUGCGUGAAGUCGGAAUCGCUAGUAAUCGUGAAUCAGAAUGUCACGGUGAAUACGUUCCCGGGCCUU
rnacentral:rRNA from 1 species